UACAGAGGUCUCAAGCGUUGUUCGGAUUCAUUGGGCGUAAAGGGUGCGUAGGUGGCGCGGUAAGUCGGGUGUGAAAUCUCGGAGCUUAACUCCGAAACUGCAUUCGAUACUGCCGUGCUUGAGGACUGGAGAGGAGACUGGAAUUUACGGUGUAGCGGUGAAAUGCGUAGAUAUCGUAAGGAAGACCAGUGGCGAAGGCGGCUCACUGGUCCGGUACUGACGCUGAGGUGCGAAAGCGUGGGGAGCAAACAGG
rnacentral:rRNA from 1 species